GCUGGGCACGGUGGCGCAUGCCUGUAAUCCCAGCCACUGGGGAGGCUGAAGCAGGAGGAGCACGAGUUCAAAGCCAGCCUCAG
rnacentral:sRNA from 1 species